CCUAUCUCUGCCUUGGAAAAAAAAUCCUAUUCAUGUAGAAACGAUGUCUUUUCCUGUUAUAAUAGCAUAGACUUUAGGUCCCUCUAUCUUUGCUUUCUUUCAGAAGUGACUCUCCAGGGGAGCUAAAAUCCAUGUAUUUGGGCACACACUUGAACAAUAUUGCUAGAGAAAUUUAAGCAAGAGCACAAAGGCACUACGUUGUCUGGGAUGAUGGAAGGAGCUAAAGUCUUCAGUGAAUGAAGGAGCAGGACCAGGAGCUCAAAAUACUUCUUUGAAGACAAAGAAGAAAUGAUAUUACCAAAUGGUUGGCUCAAAAGAACAGGGAUUUUGCAACAGAGAGAGUAUGUCAUGGUCUUGAACAAGCAAUGAAAGAAUCAUCUGAAAGGAAUGUGGAGAUCAGAGAAAAAUGAUGGGAAAGUUACCACAGCCUGCAAAUGAGAAAUGAUGAGAGCCUGCCUGGGACAAAGAAUCUACAAUAGAUCUUCUCCAGCAGCUCUGGAGGUCAGACCCAGCUGUGGAGAGAAUCAUUUCUAAAAAACUAGAAGGCACGUUG
rnacentral:lncRNA from 1 species